rnacentral:rRNA from 1 species
UACGAGGGGGGCGAGCGUUGUUCGGAAUCACUGGGCGUAAAGCGUGCGUAGGCGGUUAUGAAAGUUAGGAGUGAAAGCCCCAGGCUCAACUUGGGAAUUGCUCUUAAUACUCCAUAACUUGAAUUCGGGAGAGGAUAGCGGAAUUGUCAGUGUAGCAGUGAAAUGCGUAGAUAUUGACAGGAACACCAGUGGCGUAAGCGGCUAUCUGGACCGACAUUGACGCUGAGGCACGAAAGCGUGGGGAGCAAACAGG